UCUAUCUUUUUGCUCUUCUCUAAAAACAAUUUAAUAUUUGUGAAAUGAAUAUUGCAUAGAAGAAAUAUUAGUAUGGAAGAAUAAGUAGAAGUGGGGAACGUGUUUAUGAAUGUAUGCAGGGCUGUCAAUACAUAGAACAGAAAAAAAUGGUGGAUCCAUCUGUAUGAUGGAACGAAUUAAUUUUUUUAUAUGCUAUGAUUCCUUUAAAUUGUAGAAUGGAAACCAAGCUAACUAAUGUCUUUUUUAGUCUAAAGUUAGAUUUUAUGGAGUGGUCUCUAAAUUUUGCUAUCACUAUUAGUUAUUGCAUUGCUAUUAAUGUUGACAAUAUGACCGAGUUCUCUCUGCAGACACAAUAUCUAGUGGAAAAUAGCAAGUGUAGUGGGUGGGAUAUAGCUAGCUAUAUCACAAAUUAAGAAGACACAAAUGGGAAACUACGUAAGGAAAAAUGAAUUGAAAAAGCGCAGAGAAAAGGAAUUGAUAGAAGACUUGCUACUAUACAAUUGGUUUUUGGGCUGGUCGGUAUUUUGGGCUCUGCAAUGUUUAUGGGAUUUUCUCUGUUAGUGGAACUGCACUCUCGUUCUUCUUUAGUUUGGAGUAGCUUCUGUUAUUGCCUUAGUCGCUUCAGGCCGCUGCUAUUUCUUUGUAGCUGAUGUUGUAGGUUGUUCAAUUGUUUUUUUUUUUUUUUUUGUAGCAUUUAGUUCCCUCUGGUCUCAAAUGGGAGGGUAGUGGCUGUUCUCUAGUGUUGAGGUUUAGAGUUCCUCUGCUCUUGAACCUUUUAGAAACAAUGUUUUAAGUUAAGCUAUAAUUCAAUUUUUAGGACAUAAUGUUUUAAGUUAAGCUAUAAUUCAAUUUUUAGGUUUGUGUUUUUGUUUUGUUGAAGUUAAUUUGUAUAAUUUGUUGAAGUUAAUUUUAAAAUGUUUUUUUUUUAAAUUAUUUUAAUUAUUAAAUUUUAAUAUUUUGAUUUUUUAAACAUUUAAAAUACAUUUUUUUUUUUAAUAUUCGUACACAUUUUGCCAGGGGUUAAUCCCCGGCAUGGUUUGAAAAGGACUGAUGUGACCAGAAUGCGUCAGAAAAGCCUGCUAUCAUGCAGACACAAUUUGCCAGGGGUUGAGCCAGGGCCUGUGCCAGGAGCGCAUUUUCCAGGAGCUAAACCCCUGGUAGGAUCAUUUGCGAUGAGCAGAUUUGCUGGUGAUUCUGCUCCUGGCAAACGUCCAUUUGCCAAGGCUUUAUGCAUUUUGCUAGGGCUUCUGCCCCUGGCAAAUUACCAGAUUUCUUGUAGUGGAUCCAUUCAUGUUGAAACUUCCGUUAGUGUUAAAACUUUGCAUGUUAAUUUUGGUGUGUCCCAACUUGGUGUCAAUGAAGUUGACACGGCUCAUUUCUUUUCAAGCCAAGUUACAUGGAAAGAUAAAGAAGACAUGCUUAGUUCGAUACGGCGACAAGCAAAUAGGGCCGGAUUUACAGUUGGUAUAAAAAGAUCCAGCAUACAGAAUCCAAUGUUGGAGUUGAUGUGUGAAAGGAGUGGUGAUCACAAAGUAUCCAAGAAAAGAUUGAAGCAUGAAGCAACAUGAUCAAGAAACUCCGCGUGUAUGUUCAAGUUGCGUGAAUAUGUUGGUUGACGCUCCCGGACAUGGGUCACAUCAUUGUAACUUAUUGUAAUAUGGUUGUAGUGGAGUUGACAAAUCACGAAAUUGGAAUCUCUGAGAUUUGUUUUUUUCCCAAUUAGAGAUGGUUGUCCACCACCUCCAUCAUCUUCAGAGUUGAAGCUACACAAGAGACAAGAGGCAUCAUCAUGGGAAUUUGAUUUUCUGGAUCAAGAAACUUGGUUCCGAGACCUCAUGAACAUUAAAAAGGAGAUACACAGUCACCACUAAAAAGAGUCAAACCGAGUCAAUCCGAUUUUGUGUGACAUUCCUGAAAAAGUAAAGGAACAAUUUAAAGUUAUUGCAGAAGAUGAGGAUGAUUGAAUUAUGUUAGAUGGAAUAUGACAUUUUUUUUUUGUCGGUGUUCAUCCUUUUAUUGGGUCGAUAGUACAUCGACAUAUUUUUUGUGGUAGAUAAUGUAAAACCAUUUUUUGUGGCAAAUAUAUAACUAACCUUUUAUAGAUAUAUAUAUAAAUAUUUGACUUUUAUGUGGUGGACAAAGCACCAACAA